rnacentral:misc_RNA from 1 species
UGGAAAUGAAAGUGUGUGGUCAAAA